AUACCGGCCUGUCACGCCGGGGGUCGCGGGUUCGAGUCCCGUCCGCUGCG
rfam:Pseudomonas syringae strain GAW0119 contig3.1, whole genome shotgun sequence.